rnacentral:rRNA from 2 species
GAAAGUCUGACGGAGCAACGCCGCGUGAGUGAUGAAGGUUUUUGGAUUGUAAAGCUUUGUUGUUAGGGAAGAACAAGUGCCGUUUGAAUAAGGCGGCACCUUGACGGUACCUAAUCAGAAAGCCACGGCUAACUACGUGCCAGCAGCCGCGGUAAUACGUAGGUGGCAAGCGUUGUCCGGAAUUAUUGGGCGUAAAGCGCGCGCAGGCGGUCUCUUAAGUCUGAUGUGAAAGCCCACGGCUCAACCGUGGAGGGUCAUUGGAAACUGGGAGACUUGAGUGCAGAAGAGGAGAGUGGAAUUCCACGUGUAGCGGUGAAAUGCGUAGAUAUGUGGAGGAACACCAGUGGCGAAGGCGACUCUCUGGUCUGUAACUGACGCUGAGGCGCGAAAGCGUGGGGAGCAAACAGGAUUAGAUACCCUGGUAGUCCACGCCGUAAACGAUGAGUGCUAGGUGUUAGGGGUUUCGAUGCCCUUAGUGCCGAAGUUAACACAUUAAGCACUCCGCCUGGGGAGUACGACCGCAAGGUUGAAACUCAAAGGAAUUGACGGGGGCCCGCACAAGCAGUGGAGCAUGUGGUUUAAUUCGAAGCAACGCGAAGAACCUUACCAGGUCUUGACAUCCUUUGACCACUCUAGAGAUAGAGCUUUCCCCUUCGGGGGACAAAGUGACAGGUGGUGCAUGGUUGUCGUCAGCUCGUGUCGUGAGAUGUUGGGUUAAGUCCCGCAACGAGCGCAACCCUUGAUCUUAGUUGCCAGCAUUCAGUUGGGCACUCUAAGGUGACUGCCGGUGACAAACCGGAGGAAGGUGGGGAUGACGUCAAAUCAUCAUGCCCCUUAUGAUCUGGGCUACACACGUGCUACAAUG